rnacentral:rRNA from 1 species
UACAGAGGGGGCAAGCGUUGUUCGGAAUUACUGGGCGUAAAGGGCGCGUAGGCGGCCUGUUAAGUCGAACGUGAAAUCCCUGGGCUCAACCCAGGAACUGCGUCCGAUACUGGUUGGCUUGAAUCCGGGAGAGGGACGUGGAAUUCCAGGUGUAGCGGUGAAAUGCGUAGAUAUCUGGAGGAACACCGGUGGCGAAGGCGACGUCCUGGACCGGCAUUGACGCUGAGGCGCGAAAGCCAGGGGAGCAAACGGG